rnacentral:rRNA from 1 species
GGCUCAGAUUGAACGCUGGCGGCAGGCCUAACACAUGCAAGUCGAGCGGAUGAAGAGAGCUUGCUCUCUGAUUCAGCGGCGGACGGGUGAGUAAUGCCUAGGAAUCUGCCUGAUAGUGGGGGACAACGUUUCGAAAGGAACGCUAAUACCGCAUACGUCCUACGGGAGAAAGCAGGGGACCUUCGGGCCUUGCGCUAUCAGAUGAGCCUAGGUCGGAUUAGCUAGUUGGUGAGGUAAAGGCUCACCAAGGCUACGAUCCGUAACUGGUCUGAGAGGAUGAUCAGUCACACUGGAACUGAGACACGGUCCAGACUCCUACGGGAGGCAGCAGUGGGGAAUAUUGGACAAUGGGCGAAAGCCUGAUCCAGCCAUGCCGCGUGUGUGAAGAAGGUCUUCGGAUUGUAAAGCACUUUAAGUUGGGAGGAAGGGCAGUAAGCUAAUACCUUGCUGUUUUGACGUUACCGACAGAAUAAGCACCGGCUAACUUCGUGCCAGCAGCCGCGGUAAUACGAAGGGUGCAAGCGUUAAUCGGAAUUACUGGGCGUAAAGCGCGCGUAGGUGGUUUGUUAAGUUGAAUGUGAAAGCCCCGGGCUCAACCUGGGAACUGCAUCCAAAACUGGCAAGCUAGAGUAUGGCAGAGGGUGGUGGAAUUUCCUGUGUAGCGGUGAAAUGCGUAGAUAUAGGAAGGAACACCAGUGGCGAAGGCGACCACCUGGGCUAAUACUGACACUGAGGUGCGAAAGCGUGGGGAGCAAACAGG